rnacentral:rRNA from 1 species
UACAACUUUCGAGCAACGGAUCUCUUGCKCUCGCAUCGAUGAAGAACGCAGCGAAAUGCGAUAAGUAAUGUGAAUUGCAGAAUUCAGUGAAUCAUCGAAUCUUGAA